rnacentral:antisense_RNA from 1 species
CUCAGCGUACAUGCCAGCUAAUUACAGAUGCAGGAGCAAACCCCUGGCCCAUACAUCAAUGGAGUUUCGCUCUUUCGCCCAGGCUAGAGGGAAGUGGCAUGAUCUUGGCUCACUGCAACCUCUGUCCUCCAAGUUCAAGCGAUUCUCCUGCCUCAGCCUCCCGAGUAGCUGGGAUUACAGGCAUGUGCACGCCACCAACCUGGCUAAUUUUUGUAGUUUUAGUAGAGACAGGGUUUCACCAUGUUGGUCAGGCUGGUCUCAAACUCCUGACCUCAGGUGAUCUACCUGCCUCGGCCUCCCAAAGUGCUGGAAUUACAGGUGUGAGCCACUGCACCCAGCCUAUUCUAUUUUUUAAAAUUCCAAAUUCAAACUAUGCUUGGUACUACACAAAGGGGCGGUAUAUAGUUUGGAUGUAAGAAAUAAUACAUAAUUUAAAAAAUAUAUAUAUACACAUAUAUAUGUAUAUACUUUCUAUAUAAAAUAUAUGUUUGUUAUAUAUAAUAUAUAUUUAUUACCUAUCAU